AUUGGCCAGGAACAAGUUUUAUAUAAAAUUUGAACAGUGGAUACAGAGGCGAUAUUAUGUGUAUAAAAAAAUACAUACAAUAAAAGGAAAAUAAAUGAAUCUUAUCUUUUUUUCUAUUUUGAGCAGAUGUUCAAGUUAGCUGAUGAAAUGUAAAAGGCACUAAAUGUACAACAUUCCAGUUUUAAAGAAGUUAAACAGAGGCCAAGGUCAUUCAGAGAUGAACUGAAAAAAAAAAAAAAAAUCACAGGGCAUUUUGUUGUCUUUGAUAUGCAAGACAUAGUGCAGAUUUUACAACAUAACAUACCAAACAAUUCUCAAAUAACACACAACUAUUUACCAUCAACGAAACACUGAGCGCGUGCUUUAAGACUCGUUGUGAGGAAACAGUGCAGCCUGCAUUCACUCAAAACACCACACGGAGCGCCAGAGCUCGUUCAGAUCAGAAAUCUUUCAUAAUUUAUAGUUUACAUCACAAUUUCUACAACAGCACUUAACACUGCAACAAGUCACAAUUAGGAGCAAAGCGACCAGCAGUGAAUGGUUUGUCAGUAUCUUACAUUGUUGUUUCUUUUUCCUUUUGGUCAAUACACUGAAAUACAUGCUGCUAACUAGUAAACAAACUAAACAACAGAAACUGACAGAAAAGACUCAAAGAUGGAGGACGACACAGUGCCUGUAUGGUUUGGUGUCACAGCCGCAGUCGAGCCAAAAUGGACUGAAUCAAGACUUUUUGUCAGUCAGAAAGGUGUUGUAAAUGAAAAUGUGGGAAUAAAUAAGUAUCUAAACCCACACAGAAAUUAAGUUAAAACAAAACUCUGCAAGGAAAAACAGCUAUGUUGACUGUGAAUGGCUAAACAGCCUAGCAUUGUGCAUUUAUGCAGUUUAUUUAGAAUUCAAAAGAUUUCACAUUCUAUGAACACACUGUGGCAGCAACACAAAGAGUAAACAUGAUGUUCAUGAUACAAACUGUACCGCUCUGUUACUCUUGACUCCUAGCACAACUGACAGCUUAGAAUUUCACUUAAAUAUUUCUAAAUUUAGCAUUUAAACGCAAUUAUAAACACAGUACAUGAUUAAGAAUGCACUGUAUAUUGACAAACACAUUAUUAAACACCUAUCUGCUUACAGCGACAUUACAGUGGGUUAUAAACCAUUUAUUUAAAGUUUAGUGUUUAGAAAUGCAAACUGGGAAGAUGUCACAUGUCCAACUCUUCUAUACCAAGAAAUUAAAGCGUUCCAGUUAGCCUCAGCUCUUUGAGGAGAUUGCUGCUAACAUAGCAUGCUAACAUGCUAACUGCUAGCAUGUUCUGCUUCUUAGCGUUAGAACAGCUAUAGCGGUACUCUAUAACAUUGUUAGCAAGUUAGCGAUCUAACAAGCGAAACAUUACAUUCUUAAAAGCUAACUGUUGGCAUUGUUAGCUAAAAUAAUAACUGGCAACAUUUUAAAUUAUUGCAUAACAUUCAUCUGUAUAACAAAUGAAUGUGAAAAUAUAAGGAUAUGUCUUCCUUUUAUGCCUAUUUUGUAAAUCAAAAUAAACUCUGCAUUACUUUUUUUUUUUUUUUAACUGCUCCACCACUCAAAGAUUUUAUUGUCCUUGCUAACAUUUAGCUGCUUCAGCAAAUUAAUUAAAUUUUUACAGAAAGCAUGGUUAUGUUUUCAUCUGUUAAUCCCAACAGCCUGUUGACUGUACCACGUCUAUAUGUCACUCUUCAGUCAUCUGAUGUAGAAAACUUUUGUACUUUGCUUCACCGUCUCCAGAAUCGAAAGGCCCAAACAUCAUAGCUCCACUCAAAAACAUUGUAAAGCACAUUUGACUUUGACUUCCAUCUCUUUUUUCCCUGUUCUGCUGACUGCAUGAACACAGCUGACUGACAAAGGAAAGGAAAUAUUUUGUCUAUUUUCCAUUUAUCAUUAAUGAACUUUUGAACAUAAAUCGCUGUAGUUGUAAUUAUUUAUGAUGCAUGUUAUCCGUGUUAGUGGACUUUAAUAGUGAGACUAAUUGUUUGCCCUGUUGGGAUGAUAAUGUUGUACAUUACUUACAGUUUUUGCUUUAACAAGUGAGAUGUGCUUUAAGGUCUUAAUUCCUGCAUAACAUUAGGCUUGUCUGACUCAUUUAAAUCCACUGGGAUCAGCAGACGAAGGAAAUACAAAUCUACGCCAUCUAUGACAUUCACAAUGACACAAUCAACCCUACGUAAGAAAAAGAAGCAAUACAAUGUGCUGUCAGUGGUUUCUGUCAAAUACACUCCUCCAACAUAAUAUUCAACAUCCUGGAUGUAAUUAACAAUUUCAUCUAUUUCAACAGACUUUAUAGCAUUAUAAAUCUUUCUUUCCAGUAUGCUGCCUCAAUUGAGAACAACCUGUGCAUUUAAUUGCAAAACUACUCCAGAUUAUUUCAUUUAGAAGAGUCCUGCAGAAUUCAGGCUCAACUUUAAACUGUAGGAGCAGACUGCAAAUCAUUCUGGUUGUUGGUAUAAGAGUUUACAUUUUGAAGCUGUGUAUUCUGGUUAUAGUCCAUCUUUUCAAUAUGUAGACAGCAAUGCAAGUCAUAUUUAAGCAAUAGAUUGUUAAAAAAAUAACAACAAAAAAAACGCAAAACUCAAGAAAGUCACAUUAUUUGUUUUUGUUGUUCAAAAAAAAAAAAAAAAAAAGAAAAAAGCUUAAUUCAUUCCAUUUUGAACUGACAGGCUGGACACCUGCUGCAGGCAUAUCAGAGUGUCUGGUGACAAAUAAUUAAGACUAAAGAGAGAAAAACAUAAAGCAUGCCACCAUCUGUCUGGACCUCUACAGCAAACUACUUUCCACCUCUGGAAAGUCAUCCACAGCCAUACCACACUGGAAUGAGUUACAGUAAACAGCACUAUAUCUUACAUGACGAGCAAGAAAUAUAUACAAACACUGAUCAGCGUGGAAAUCUACUGCAUUCGGAAUCACAAGCUGAAGCUGAAGGCGUUUAGAAUGUAUGCAACACAAAUAUCAUUCUCAUACGUAACCAAACCAUUAACAAACAAAAUCAUAACAUAAAUUUGGCUUUUAAAUGCUUUAAGACAAAAAAAACAAAAAAAAACAACAAGAUUUUGGAAUGCAUUUAAAGCUUAAAAGCAACUGGAAAAUAAUAAUUAAAAAAAAUGUUGAUAUUACAUAUUUGGCCCAUUAGUUUUGAAAAAAAAGAGCUUUACAUAACACAUAGAUUGAAAAAAAAAAAAAGGACGGAUAUUUUCAUAAUCAUGAUUGUAGUGUUAGUAAAUUGCAUGCAAACAGUGUAUUUAGAAGUUGUUCUGUUCAACAAAUGACAUCUCCCAGUUCUCAUAAAAAGGAGAUAUAUUUCACCUCAAUUGAACAUUUACUUUCAACAUGCGUAUUUUAAAAUGAACUAAAGCUAACGUGAAAUAAUGAACUGCCACUCUUAAAUUGCACCUGCAAACAGGCAGAAAGGCUUGGAUGGAGAAGCAGAACUAAAAAGAAAAAUCAACAUGGGCUGCAUUGCCUGUGUGUUUAUAUGUGCUUGUAAAAAAAACUGAGACACAAACGGAAACUCAGUGUGGCCGCAAUUAAUUAAAAACCGAAAGAUGCUGUAUGUUCCACUGAGGUGAAAAUCAAAGAGGGAGGCAGUGUCUUUAAAAAGGUACCACAACGACAUGCCAGAACUUUUACAGAGAACUGAAGCAUUCACAGUAAUACAACGUCAGACGGCUUCUUCUUAAAACUAGUUGAGGAGUACCAAAGUUAUUUCUGUAGAUGUUAUUACAACUGCAUGCAAAGUUACUGAAGGCAAUGUAAAAUCUACCUCUACAUUAUACGCCUCUACAAAACAAGAUCACUAUGGAAGUGCCCGACGGUGGAGAUGAACUGUGGCUUCAGCAGACUGUUGCACCAGCUACAUGUAAAGCAAUUACGAUGCUUACAUUAUGAAGCUGAAAUGGCGACUUUUUAAUGUCUUCUGGCAGGCGUAAUGCUGGACAGACAGAGUGCGGAUUAAUCGCAGCACCAAGAAAAAAAGUGUAAUUUGACGAUCAUUUGGACGAUUGGGACGUGCUGUCGGGGAAGAUGCCAACAACAGCCUCGGACCAGCAACGCUUAUACUGGAAAUUUCAAGUUUUACGCAAGAUUUGGCUCGUGCAGUAAGGCAGUCCUACUUGUUUUUUUUUUUGUUUGGGUUUUUUUUUUUUUAACAAAACAAUUCCCCCGUCAAUAUUUUGCAGAGGCACCAUCACUGCAUCCUGGGCUUAGGGCCGCCCAAAAAGACUGACUGCUUUAAAGGGAUACGAACUACAAAGAUGUGUUUUAUCAGAAUAAUUACAGGAUUAUUUAUCUGCAUUAUCUGGCUGAACAACUUAUCUGGUUGAAUUGAAUGCAAGUCAGAUCUUCUUGUAGCAGUUUGACUUGUUCUGGUCAGAUUUCUCACAGAUCAAUACAUACUUUUGUGCAGAAAGAGUUUUUUUUUUUUUUUUUACACGUUUUGAUUGAGAUUGUGCUGCAAAAAGGGACUUUUUCUGAGCCAUUAGUCCAAAUUUUGUUUUUUUUUCCCUUCUUACUUUCUGUUCUGCAGCUCUCUUUCUGUUCAGAGUGUAACUGCACCAUUUGCACCAAAAAAAAAAAAAAAAAAAUGGUGGAAACUGUUGAAUAAAAUCAGAUGCAGUGUGAGCACCAAAGCCUAGAAAGGCAGGUAAGGUUAGUGCAACAAACAUGACGAAUAACGUCUGCCCAGCUUUACUCUUUCCUUAUAAUCAAUGAGAAGCAUAUUGUUCGUGAUAUCGUUUUACAUUUACGAUGUGGCUGACAUGCACAUUUAAUGAAUAACUACAGUCUGCUGUUUAUAACAGAAGUAUGUAAGUUGAGGUUUUGACGUUGGCAGAAUUUCUUUGAUAUUUAUUGAUGUUUCUGUAGUUUAUGACACGCUGGUCGCACAGCCAUGAAUAUAAAGCACCAAAAUACCGCACGAAGCGAUUGAUGAACGAGGAGGUGAUGAAGGUCGAACAAACGUGUGAUAUAAUACGUUGCUUGUUUUGUUUUUUUUUUAUAUCUAGUUAGUUAAUAGUGGCUUCCUUUUCCAUUUUAGUUUAAUGCUUCUCUGGAUAAAACAUCAAUUCUUGCCUUGAUGUUUUGAAAAGCUUUUCCUUGGUUUGGAUGCAGGUAGCUUAGGUAGUGAUUGUUAGUGCACUCUCAGAUUUACCAUUUUGAGUUGGUGCAACAGCCUGCAGAAGGUUUUUUUUUGUUCGAGGGCACAAAGCUACGAGGAAUAAAGUAAA